GGAGGGCGCGGUCGAAAGAUCGUGGCCCCGCACACGGCUCAGUAACACGUAGUCAACCUACCCUUGGGACGGGGACAACCUCGGGAAACUGAGGCUAAUCCCCGAUAGGCGAGGGACGCUGGGAUGCCCUCUUGCCCAAAGCUCCGGCGCCCAAGGAUGGGACUGCGACCUAUCAGGCUGUUGGUGGUGUGACGGACCACCAAACCUACGACGGGUACGGGCGAUGGGAGUCGGAGCCCGGAGAUGGGGACUGAGACAAGGCCCCAGGCCCUACGGGGCGCAGCAGGCGCGAAAACUCCGCAAUGCGCGCAAGCGUGACGGGGGGAUCCCAAGUGCCGUUGGUCUUUUGAUCGACGGCUUUUAGGAAGUUUAAGAAGCUCCCAGAAUAAGGGCUGGGCAAGACUGGUGCCAGCCGCCGCGGUAACACCAGCAGCCCAAGUAGUGGCCGCGAUUAUUGGGCCUAAGGCGCUCGUAGCCGGGUCAGCAAGUCCUUUGUGAAAUCGGACCGCCCAACGGUUCGGCGUGCAAGGGGUACUGUUGGCCUUGAGGCCGGGAGAGGUCGGAGGUACUCCUGGGGUAGCGGUGAAAUGCUCUAAUCCUGGGGGGACCACCAGUGGCGAAGGCGUCCGACCAGAACGGACCUGACGGUGAGGGGCGGAGGCUAGGGGAGCGAACGGGAUUAGAUACCCCGGUAGUCCUAGCUGUAAAGCAUGCUGGCCAGGUGUCUAGC
rnacentral:rRNA from 1 species